GUUAAGAAUCUUGCACAAUGGGCGAAAGCCUGAUGCAGCGACGCCGCGUGAGCGAUGAAGGCCUUCGGGUUGUAAAGCUCUUUUCUGGGAGAAGAAACGGCGGGCAACCGCCCUGACUGUACCUCAGGAAUAAGCCUCGGCCAAUUACGUGCCAGCAGCCGCGGUAAGACGUAAGAGGCGAGCGUUGUCCGGAAUCACUGGGCGUAAAGCGCGUGUAGGCGGUUUGGUAAGUCGGAUGUGAAAUCUCCGGGCUCAACCCGGGAACUGCGUCCGAAACUGCCUUGCUCGAGAGCAGAAGAGGAGAGUGGAAUUCCGGGUGUAGCGGUGAAAUGCGUAGAUAUCCGGAGGAACACCAGUGGCGAAGGCGGCUCUCUGGUCUGUUUCUGACGCUGAGACGCGAAAGCGUGGGGAGCGAACGGGAUUAGAAACCCGAGUAGUCC
rnacentral:rRNA from 1 species